AGGGCUUCUUCCCAGCAGACCAUAUCCAGCUCCACAAAGAUGUGUAAAUCCAAAACUGCUGCACCAAAAAACAAGCAAUGAAGCCAAACAAAGUAGCCAACGUGACUCAGCUAUCAAGCACUGCUCGCCUUUUGCUGUCUUUUGCCACCUGAAAGGGACCUGCUCUUCACAUUCCUUCUGCUCUUUUUUCCCCCUCUUUUGAACUUACUUUUGGACCUUGGUUCCUCAAACUUUUAGCCUGUCAUCGCCAGCAGAUGAAGUUGUCACUGUUACUCUUUUGGUACACUAAUCAACCUGUAUAAUAACAAA